ensembl:lncRNA
CGAAGCCAGACAAAACAUUCAGGUUCUGCACUGAUUUUCGCAAGCUAAAUGCUGUAACGAAACCAGAUUCUUUCCCGCUGCCUCGUAUGGAGGAUUGCGUUGACCAAGUGGGCCACGCCGCAUUUAAACGCUCCUGCCACGUUCCAGAGGCUCAUGACCAGAGUCUUGGGGGACUUGGAGGGGUGCACUGUGUAUUUGGACGACGUGGUGGUGGUUUCAGACUCGUGGCCGUCUCAUGUGGAGCGUGUCCGUGCGUUGUUCCUGCGCUUGGCUGAGGCGCGCCUGACCAUCAACCUCGCCAAGCGUUUGAGAGGAUAAAGUCUCUGCUGUGUGAAGCACCGGUCCUGGCCGCUCCGAGGUCUGACCGACCUUUUGUGCUUCAAGUCGACGCUAGUCACAUCGGAGUAGGUGGCGUUUUGUUGCAAGCCAAUGAGUUGGGUUUGGAAAAACCAGUCUGUUUCUUUUCCAAGAAAUUUAACUCAUAUCAAUUGAACUAUUCAACGAUUGAAAAGGAGGCACUGGCCUUAGUUUGGGCUCUGAGAAACUUUGAAGUGUACUUGGGC